rnacentral:lncRNA from 1 species
GCGACAUGUGCUGCCGGCCCGGGCUCCAUGAGCGUGGCGGGCACUUUGCAGUCUCGGGUGUUCCUGCCCGGUCUUCUGUUCCUAAACUGCAGCAAAGGGAAAAGGAACUGAAAAAGGCAGGCUCGUCGUUGCAAUAUCACCAAAAGAGAAAAUUAACGGCAUGCCAUCAGGACCACAGCAGUUGGAGAAACAACUCUUUAUCCCGGCUUGCAGCCACGAGUCAUACACGUGGACCUAACUGCACCAGUAGCUUUUCUGAGAAUACUUGCUGAAAAGGAAGUUUUCUGGAAUGGGUAAGUGUAUUCUGAUUUUCUUGAACUUUUCUUAAAAACAAAUUUUUCUUGCUAUUAAAGUUGAAUAAAUAGGAUUGGUUUCUUAGAGAGUAAAAGUAGGUGUUUCUUUCUUUAGACAAUGUACCUUUUCUGAAAAACUAACUCAUUAAGUACGGAUUUGCUAAUUUUAAGGUAGUAAAAUUACAGUGUAAAUAUUCCUGUACAUUUUUGGAAACUGGCUUAUGCAGUUUACGAAAUAUAAUUUUAGACCCUCUUUUAAGUUGGGUGAUAAAGUAGAUAUAACCUGAGAUGAUAGAUUUAAACAGGAUAUUUACGUUCUGCUACAAUUGACUGAUAACACUUGAAGUGUAGUCUGAACAGUAAUUUUGUUAAUCAUUUCAACAAGUAUUUGCUAAGUGGAAGCCAGAAGAGGAGGAAAAUGUUUUGCCACGUGGAUGUGAAGAUUUCCUCUAAAAGGUACACAUGGACUAAAUUGCCUUUAAAUGUUCCAAAAUUAGUUCUCAUUUAUUUGCAGUCUCAUUUUGUUUUGUUUUUUUUCUCUAUGUGUCAAUCCAUUUGGGAGAGGCCAGCCAUUGGAAGAGCCACCACUUCCAGUGCUAGUUGGAUGGUUGGUUAUGAUUGCCUUCUGUAAAGAAUUCUUAAGGCAUAAAUACGUGUCUAAAUGGACCUCAUAUCUUUGAGAUAAUUAAACUAAUUUUUUCUUCCCCAUUAGGGAUUAUGCUGAAUUUGUAUGGUUUAUAGUUGUUAGAGUUUGAGGUGUUAAUUCUAAUUAUCUAUUUCAAAUUUAGCAGGAAAAAAGAGAA